rnacentral:tRNA from 1 species
GGGGUUGUGGCUCAGUGGUAGAGCACUUGCCUGGCAUGUGUGAGGCCCUGGGUUCCAUUCUCAACACCA